GCGAGUGAAGCGGCAACAGCUCAAAUUUGAAAUCUGGCUCCUUCGGGGCCCGAGUUGUAAUUUGCAGAGGAUGCUUCGGGUACGGGUUCCUUCCGAGUUCCCUGGAACGGGACGCCAUAGAGGGUGAGAGCCCCGUCUGGUAGGACACCCAGCCCGUGUGAAGCUCCCUCGACGAGUCGAGUAGUUUGGGAAUGCUGCUCUAACGGGAGGUAUACUCCUUCCAAGGCUAAAUACCGGCUGGAGACCGAUAGCGCACAAGUAGAGUGAUCGAAAGAUGAAAAGCACUUUGAAAAGAGAGUCAAAUAGCACGUGAAAUUGUUGAAAGGGAAGCGCUCGCUACCAGACAUGGGUUCGGCGGUUCAACCGGGGCCACGCCCCGGGGCACUCCGCCGGCCCAGGCCAGCAUCAGCUUUCCGUCGGGGGCAAAGGCGUCGGGAAUGUGGCUCCCCUCCGGGGGAGUGUUAUAGCCCGGCGUGUCAUACCCUUCGGGGGGCUGAGGUACGCGCUUCUGCAAGGAUGCUGGCGUAAUGGUAGCUAGUGACCCGUCUUGAAACACGGACCAAGGAGUCAACCUUAUGUGCGAGUGCCCGGGCGUAAAACCCCAGCGCGGAAUGAAAGUGAACGUAGGUGAGAGCUUCGGCGCAUCACCGACCGAUCCUGAUGUCCUCGGACGGAUUUGAGUGAGAGCAUAUAGGGUUGGACCCGAAAGAAGAUGAACUAUGCGUGUGUAGGGUGAAGCCAGAGGAAACUCUGGUGGAGGCUCGCAGCGGUUCUGACGUGCAAAUCGAUCGUCAAACAUGCGCAUGGGGGCGAAAGACUAAUCGAAUCUUCUGGUAGCUGGUUUCCGCCGA
rnacentral:rRNA from 1 species